rnacentral:rRNA from 1 species
AUGUUAGAGCUUCCACCGGGGUUCAGGUUCCACCCUACUGAUGAGGAGAUCAUCACCUCCUACCUUGCCCCUAAGAUUCUCAACCCAGCGUUCAACGCCACAGCGAUCGGUGAGGUGGACCUGAAUAAGAACGAGCCAUGGGAGCUUCCCAACAAGGCCAAGAUGGGGGAGAAUGAGUGGUACUUUUACUGCCAGAAGGACCGCAAGUACCCCACCGGGAUACGAACCAACCGGGCCACGAAGGCCGGCUACUGGAAGGCCACGGGUAAGGACAAAGAGAUCGUCAACCCACAUUGCAUGUCCAUGCUCAUGGGCAUGAAGAAGACAUUGGUGUUCUACAAGGGCAGAGCUCCCAGCGGGGAGAAGACCAACUGGGUCAUGCACGAGUACAGGCUCGAGAUCGGCAAGCAGUCAACAUCCGGCCUGCCCACCACCAUCGCAAAUGCCGCUUCCAAUAACGUGUCUUCUAAGGAGUAUGUGGUUUGCAGGAUCUUCCAUAAGAACACUGGAAGUGGGGUGUCAUCCAUGGUGUCACAUGAGGACGUUGGGACCGGUCCUGGCAACAACGACCAGGGCAACGGCGGUGCAACAACCACCGACAAGAUCUUGUCGAUGAGCAUGCGUACAGGUGGGGCAUGUUGA